rnacentral:rRNA from 1 species
AAUGAACGCUGGCGGCGCGCCUAAUACAUGCAAGUCGAGCGAGAAGACGUAGCAAUACGUUUGUAAAGCGGCGAACGGGUGAGGAAUACAUGGGUAACCUACCCUAGAGUGGGGAAUAACUAGCCGAAAGGUUAGGCUAAUACCGCGUACGCUCCUUGGACUUCGGUUCAGGGAGGAAAGCGAUGCCGAGGGUAUCGCGCUCUUGGAUGGGCUCAUGUCCUAUCAGCUUGUUGGGAGGUAACGGCUCACCAAGGCUUCGACGGGUAGCUGGUCUGAGAGGACGAUCAGCCACACUGGCACUGCGACACGGGCCAGACUCCUACGGGAGCAGCAGUAAGGAAUAUUGCGCAAUGGGCGAAAGCCUGACGCAGCGACGCCGCGGUGGGGGAU